AAGGAAGAAGGUUAGAUUUCAAGAAUUGUUCAGUUUUGUUUAAAAUCCUUUCCAUUUUUAAUCAGUAACUAUCCACUAAUUUGAUGACUGAUUGGUUAUGUUUUAUGAAUGAUGAAGCAAAUGUUAAGCUUGAUGAGGUUUGUGAGUGUGCAAAUGUGUCAACUACACUAAGUUUGCCUUGUAUUCAUAAGAGAUAAAGAGAAAUGUUACAUUUACUUUCCAAAUAAAUGUUUAUCUUAACAAUUCUGUGAAUUUUUUGGUGUAUUUAUAUAAAAAAUUUGUAUGCUGUUAUCAGUUAUGAAGUGAUGUUUUUUGGAAAUAUUUUUAGUGGAGAGAUCCUUCAUUGCAGG
rnacentral:misc_RNA from 1 species